ACAUACAUACAUACAUACAUACAUACAUACAUACAUACAUGCAUACAUACAUACAUACAUACAAUACAUACAAUACACAUAUAUGUUGCUUUGUACAUACGUGAUAUUGUAUAAACAUAGAAAUACGCACACACACGCACGCAUACAUGCAUGCACAUACACGCGGAAACAAUAGACCAAUGACAACUAACAAACAAAACAAAAAGAAACAAGUAAAAGGUGACCAAAAGAAUGUCAUCAUCGAUUUGUAUGAGAAAAAAUUCACGUGAGUUACGAAGUUAUGGGAUUUAUCAAAAAAGAAAAAAAAAAUGAAAAAAAGAAGGAGAAAAAACCAAACAAAAAAAUUAGAAAGAAAAACGAAUAAACGAAAACAAACAGUGACGAGAAUAUAUUCGAUGCGUGAUAAAGAGAGAAAAACAGAUAUAUAUAUAUAUAUAUAUAGAGAGAGAGAGAGAGAGAGAGAGAGAGAGAGAGAAAAUGAGUAAAAGUGAAUGAAAGUGAAAGAGAGAGAGAGAAAGACAAAGAAUGAAUGAGAGAGAGAGAGAGAGAGAGAAAGAAAUGACGAAAUAGAAGUAACGAAAAUAACACUACCAGCACGUAACAACAAAGGAAAGAUAAAUAAGUAAAUAAAUAAAUAAAUAAAUAAAUAAAUAAAUAAAUAAGUAAAUAAAUAAAUAAAUGAUAAAAUAAUAAUUAUUUAAAAAAAAAGUAAAAAAUGAAAAAAAAAAAAGAAAGAGGGAAAGAAGAAAAGAAAAGAAUACAAAACAAAGCAAACAAUUAAACACAGAGAGAGCCAGUAAGAGAAAGAGAGAAAGUGACAAAUCUCCCCUUCGAUAACAAAUGAGAAUGAUAAUAAUAGUUGAGCGUAAGAGAUAGCGAUGAUUAAAAAACGAUUAUUAAAUGAGAAAGAGAGAAAGGAAAAAAAACAAAUAAAAGAGAGAGAGAGAGAGAGAGAGAGCAAGAGAGCGAGAUACAGAAAGAGAGAGGAAUAGAUUAUAUAUUCUUGAGCUCUGUCAUGGGAGAGGAGGGAGUGAGAUAAAGAGGGAUGAAAGGGGAACGGAAGACGGGGUGCAAUUUCAAGAGAUCAGCAAUGAUGGAAUUUGUAUUUUACGAAUUUUCCUUCUUGCUUCUCUUCAAAUGGGGUUGUUCCUCUCUCUUUCUCUCUCUCUCUCUCUCUUUCUCUCCCUUUCCCUCUCCCACUCUUUCUCUCUCUCUCUCUCUCUCUCUUUCUUUCUUUUUUGCUAGAAGUGUAUAUAUAGUGUAAUAUCACUGAAAACUUUUCUGGCUACUCAAAAGUUCCUAAUAUUUUUCUUCUCGUCGUUAACGUUUAGGGUUAAUUAUUGUAUUAAUUACCGAUCGAGUUCAAUCGAGUCUCGUACCAAAGAGGAAAACGUAAGUCAAAUGUUGAUCGCUAUGCAUUUUAUUCUUUCCAAAUUCGAGAAACGUUCGUGUCAUUUUUCUUUUUGUUGGUUUUCCUUUUCUUCUUCUUCUUCUUCUUCUUCUUCAUUGUUUUUCGUUUAUUUAUUUAUUCUGUUAUUUUUUUUUUUCUUUUUUUUUUUUUUUUUCUUUUUUUUGUGACAAGCGUAAUCGCGAGAACCAACGAAUAAUAAUCGAAUACUCAGAUGAUUUAUUUGAAAUAUGUGUGUAUAAGUAUAUAUAUAUAUAUAUAUAUAUAUAUAUAUAUAUUAAUAACAAUUAAAUAAACAUAUUAAUAAAAAUUAAAUAAACAAGAAAAUAUAAAUUGAAAGUAUAAACGAGAAACGGUAUACGUCUUGUCGUCUCUUUUUAUUUUUGUUUUUAAAUUAUAAAAUUAUAACGAACGAUUCGUAAUACGAAUAUUUAUUAUAAAUAUAACUGAUAAGUAAUAAACUCAUAGCGAUGAUUACGAUAAUGAUCAUCCUUUUUUUCCUAAUUUCUUUGUUUUUUUUUUUUUUUUUUUAAUUUCAAUUCUUUUCUUUUCCGAACGAGAUAUGAAAAAACGAGAAACAUAUAAUCACUGCCAUACGAUAAAUAUAUAAAAUAACAUAUUAACGUGUUCGUCGAGGAGAGAGUAUAUUAGUCGGGAAAUAAAUAAAAGUUUUUUGUUUUUAUUUAUUUAUUUAUUUUUUUUCUUUUUUCUUCUUUUUGUUUCUUUUUCUCUAUUCUUUUUCAACUGCAAAUUUUCUUGCGAGAGAAAGACGUACGAUCGAUUUGAAAAAGUACUUCUUUUUUUGUCUCUUUUAUUAACAAUUUUUUUUUUCUUUUUUUGUUUUUAUUUUUAUCGUCAAGACACACCACGUUACGAGGACGGAAAGAAGAGAGCAAAGAAAGAUCUAAUUGAGAAUGUAUUUUUUUUUUUUCUUCUCAAGACAGAAAUAGAGAGAGUGGGAGAGAGAGAGAGAGAGAGAGAGACUCGAUAACAAAAUAUUGAGAUUAGAAAAAAAGGAUAUUUGAGAAGCCAGAAAGGAUAAUAAUGCGUGCAGAGCCAAUAAUCUGUUAUAUUUCGUCGCGUUGGUAUUUGUCCGGGAUUGGUUUGGAAGGAAAUGUUAAACGAUGAAGUUAAUAGGAAUGAAAAAGGGACAGAGAGAGAGAGAGAGAGAGAGAGAUAGAGAGAGAGAGAGACAUAGAAUUAAAGAUAUAGAAUUAGAUCUCCUUGAGACCUAUCCCGGAACCAAUCGACGACGAUUUGUUAUUAUGCCAGAAAUCUGUUAGGUUUUUUGUCCUACAAUAAGUAGCGUUUAAAAAUAGAAAUGGAAAGAACAGUAGAAAUAGCCGUUUUGUAUUGUUUUUGUUUGUCACAAUUUUUCGUUCCUUCUUUUUUCCACUCUUUUCUUUUCUUUUCUUAACGUUUCUUAUUUUUUUUUUUUUUUUUUUUUUUUUCUUUUUUUUUUCUUCUCCGUAUCUUUUCUUGUCUUCGAAGCGAAAAAAGAAAAUUGGGAAAGAACUUUAAUAUCAACGAUUGUUCGUCAUGGAUUUACAAAAAAGAAAAAAAAAAAAAAACAGGAGAAAAAACAAAAAAAAAAAAAGAGGGAUAAUUAUAUUGAUACAACGGUGUAUGCGUUUUUUGGGAUUAGAGGGGUAGGCGGGCUAAGAAAAAAGAAAAAAUAAUAACAACCAAAAAAAAAAAAAGGAAAGAAAAGAAAAGGAAAGAAAAUUAAAAGAAAGAAUAAUAAAGGAAGAAGUAAAAUCAUGUGGAUAAUGAAAUUUUAUCGAAAUUCGAAAUGCGUGAAGUCAAAAUGCGAGAUACAGGAAAAAAUGAGAUGAUUAUCGGGCGAGGUGCCGGUGUAACAUAUUGUUAAGAAGGAGAAAGAGAGAAAAAAGAGAGAGAGAUAGAGAGAGAGAUAGAUAGAGAGAGAGAGAGAGCAUAAUGAUAAUGAUGAUAAUGAUAAAAGCAAAAGAAGAAAAAAAAAAAAAGUAAAAAGCAGAAAGAAAGAAAGAAAGAAAAAAAGAAAGAAAGAAAGAAAGAAGGUAUUUUUACUCCCUUCGAUCUUUCCACUUAUCUUUCUUCUUCUUUUCUUUCCUUUUACUGUCUCUCUCUCUCUCUCUUUUUUCUUUUUUUUUAAAUUUCUUUUUUACAUUGUAACGCUCGCGCUCCUUAUCACGACACAAUUUCGAUUUCCUCUUUCACGCGUCAUUUUUAAGACGACGUGUGUUAAAUUAAAAUUUAUCUGGGCUGUUUCGCCGGAAUAAUAUUUCGACAUUUCUAAAAAAGAAAAUCUUCACGAUUAAAGGAAAGAGAGAGAGAGAGAGAGAGAGAAGUUUGCGCUCAUUUUCUCAAAUGAGAGAUUCGAUCCUCGAAGGCAAAAAAAAGAAAAGAAAAUCAAAAAUGAAUUCUUAACCUUUUUUCGGCAAAUCCAAAAUUGUUUUUUUUUUUUUCUAUCCGUCGAUCAGCCCGAUCAUGCCUAUGCGACGCCAUCCUUUUCCUCCUUAAAAAAAUCUCGGACACGAUCAAACGAUCUCGUCGUUGUUUUCUUAUCGAUCCUCCUCUAAUUGUUACCGAGCAAAAAGAGAGAAAGAGAGACAGAGAAAGAGAGAGAGAGAGAGAUGAAAGAUAAUGACGAUGAAACAAAAUUUUAUUAGGGAAAUCUUUUCUGUGUCGUGAUAAAGCGCGAGAGAAAUAGAAAAGGAAAAAAGAAAAAAAAAGAAAAAAAAGAACACGCAAAAAAGAAAAUUGUUCACCGAGUUUUAAUCGUCCGCGAGCCACGCCAAGUUCAAAAGCGUAAGAGAAAUAAAAAAA